rnacentral:rRNA from 1 species
AGUGAACGCUGGCGGUAGGCCUAACACAUGCAAGUCGAACGGCAGCACAGUAAGAGCUUGCUCUUACGGGUGGCGAGUGGCGGACGGGUGAGGAAUACAUCGGAAUCUACUUUUUCGUGGGGGAUAACGUAGGGAAACUUACGCUAAUACCGCAUAUGACCUACGGGUGAAAGCAGGGGAUCUUCGGACCUUGCGCGAUUGAAUGAGCCGAUGUCGGAUUAGCUAGUUGGCGGGGUAAAGGCCCACCAAGGCGACGAUCCGUAGCUGGUCUGAGAGGAUGAUCAGCCACACUGGAACUGAGACACGGUCCAGACUCCUACGGGAGGCAGCAGUGGGGAAUAUCGGACAAUGGGCGCAAGCCUGAUCCAGCCAUACCGCGUGGGUGAAGAAGGCCUUCGGGUUGUAAAGCCCUUUUGUUGGGAAAGAAAAGCAGCAGGUUAAUACCCCGCUGUUCUGACGGUACCCAAAGAAUAAGCACCGGCUAACUUCGUG